AUCCUAAUGGAGACUAGAGCUUUACCAGUAAAAGGUAAUCAGGGCAAGUCCCAAGAUCUUUAAAGAUCCUGAGCACUUUUAGAAAGAACCAAGUGUUUGAUUCAACGUCUCUGGCAAAAUACCAGACACGUAAAUGCCCUCUGCCCCCCAGCUUAACCAGAGCCAUCGGCAGGAUAAAAGACUUAGCUAUCUCAAAGUGCCACAGUGCAAGGUGUAACAGCUUCCUUCCAACUUGGGAACAAUGUGUUUUGAGGUCACAAGAUUCAAUAUCCAGCAGGGAUGUAAGCAGACUGGCUGCAGCAACAACAUUUUGGCUGGAUGAUGUCCUGAAGGAGCUGAAGGUUGCCAAGCCUGGUAUUCCCACCUGGGGAACUAGGUGCCAGUGAGAGUCA
rnacentral:lncRNA from 1 species